rnacentral:lncRNA from 1 species
UUUUUUUUUUUUUUUUUUAGUAGAGGCGGGGUUUCACCCUGUUAGCCAGGAUGGUCUCGAUCUCCUGACCUCAUGAUCCUCCCUGCCUCGGCCUCCCAAAGUGUUGGGAUUACAGGCGUGAGCCACCACCCUGGCCAAUGGAGACUUUUGUAGUCAACCCUCACACAGACAAAAAUUCAAUAAAACCAACACACACACACAAUCUGUAAAGAGUUAUUUCUACUCCUUGCAAUACAAAUUCAGUUUUUCAGCAGCUAGGUAUCCCCUGGAGCUAUAAAGUGUCUCAAAACUCAGAAUAUAUUCUCUUUCUCUCCAACUUCAACUCAUUCAAAGCAGGAAAUAUUUUAUGCUGUAUCCUUUGAAUCAAAACGCAGUGAGAUGAUCUACACACAAAAUCAGCUAGCAAAUAGACGCCCCUUUCUCCCUCUGCCAACAGGAUUAAAACUCAUCUGUGGAAUCAAGACUUCCCUGUAAUCACAUCCAACCAGACUUCAAUCAAAACUCAGGCAUAUGAAAGCCUCUUAGUUUCAGAUGUAUUUAAAAAACAUUUCCUUUCACUCUCUGAAUCUUCUUGAAGAAUAAACUUUGUGUCUUUUUGAAAUUAUCUCCUCUUGCAGUUUUUAAUCUUUUCCUCUCACCAGGGCAAAGACUGAAGCAAUCUGUAAUUAAUGUCUUGAAAAAUAUUUAGGUGGAUUUAAUAAAGAGACCCAAACAGUAAAAAGCUCCACAUACCUACAUGUUUUCUUUAAUUGAAGAAAUGCUAGAGAAUUCUGGAAAAAUUGCUAAAAUCCCAUGGCAGUUCCAUACUGACCUAUUAAAGGAUAUGAAGGUCUGUGUGUCAGUCUUUCAGUGGCUCUCCUAAUGGUAUAAAGAUGAUCAGUAAUUAAUCUUGGAUGUUUAAGGUAUGUUUUUAUUUGUUAGCCAAGGGACUUACCUAUAUGACCUCUUUGCAUCUCUUCCAAUUUAGAACCAACCAGUUGACUUAAUUAAAUAGGAUUUUCUUUCUCCUUCAAAGUUAUCUGUGUUUAGGGAGAAAGAAUGUAAGUGUAUCUCUUUGUAUCGAUUUCUUUCCUUGUAGUGUGUGUGAAGGAGAAACAUCUUGCAAGAUCUUUCCCUUGGCAUAGGAAUAAGUAGACAAUCUAAUUUUAAAGACGCCAAAGCAUAGGG